AUGGAUAAUAAUCGGGUAUAAGGCAGACACCGAAGGCGCGGGAUAGCAAUUAUGAAAGUAUCGGUAGGGGAGCAUACUCACAGCGUCGAAUGGUGUACGUAAGUUAUCCUGGAGCGGUGAGUAAAGCAAAUGUAGGAAUAAGUAACGAUAAGGAGGGUUAGAUUCCCUCCCGCUGUAAGACCAAGGUUUCCCGGGCAAUGCCAAUCAGCCCGGGGUCAGUCGGGUCCUAAGUCUAAGCCGAACGGCGAUGGCGAUGGCAGAGACGGUUAAUAUUCCGUCACUGCCGCAUGGGGCGACGUGGAGACGGAGCAGUGAAACCACCGCGGGGCGACGGAAGUCCCCGUUGAAGAGUGUAGGUGUUGAGGAUGGCAGGCAAAUCCACCAUCCGAGCUGAACUUGACAGUACGGAGUCCUCCUCGGAGGAAUCUGAUAGUGUGGGUAAUCAUACUCCCGAGAAAAUCCGCUAAGCUUAACCCAUGCGGCACCCGUACCGCAAACGGACACACGUGGUCGGGUAGAACAUACUAAGGCGUUGAGAGAUUCAUGGUUAAGGAACUAGGCAAAUUGACCCUGUAACUUCGGGAUAAAGGGUCCUCGUGAUGAGCGAGGCGCAGAGAAUAGGUCCAGGCAACUGUUUAACAAAAACACAGGGCUGUGCAAACU
rnacentral:rRNA from 1 species